CAACAGGAAGGCAGAAGAGGAAGAGUGUGAGAAAAAUGUUUGAUCGUUGAAUAGGUGUAAUGACUGUGUCUGUAAUGUUAGGUAAUGUUCUGAUGUAUCAUCGAUGUUUAAUGACCAGGUCUUGCAUUGUUAGGUAAUGUUCUGAUGUAUCAUCAAUGUUUAAUGACCAGGUCUUGCAUUGUUAGGUAAUGUUCUGAUGUAUCAUCGAUGUUUAAUGACCAGGUCUUGCAUUGUUAGGUAAUGUUCUGAUGUAUCAUCGAUGUUUAAUGACCAGGUCUUGCAUUGUUAGGUAAUGUUCUGAUGUAUCAUCGAUGUUUAAUGACCAGGUCUUGCAUUGUUAGGUAAUGUUCUGAUGUAUCAUCGAUGUUUAAUGACCAGGUCUUGCAUUGUUAGGUAAUGUUCUGAUGUAUCAUCAAUGUUUAAUGACCUUGUCUUGCAUUGUUAGGUAAUGUUCUGAUGGAUCAUCGAUGUUUAAUGACCUUGUCUUGCAUUGUUAGGUAAUGUUCUGCUGUAUCAUCGAUGUUUAAUGACCUUGUCUUGCAUUGUUAGGUAAUGUUCUGAUGUAUCAUCAAUGUUUAAUGACCAGGUCUUGCAUUGUUAGGUAAUGUUCUGAUGUAUCAUCGAUGUUUAAUGACCUUGUCUUGCAUUGUUAGGUAAUGUUCUGAUGUAUCAUCGAUGUUUAAUGACCUUGUCUUGCAUUGUUAGGUAAUAUUCUGAUGUAUGAUCGAUGUUUAAUGACCAGGUCUUGCAUUGUUAGGUAAUGUUCUGAUGUAUCAUCAAUGUUUAAUGACCUUGUCUUGCAUUGUUAGGUAAUGUUCUGAUGUAUCAUCGAUGUUUAAUGACCUUGUCUUGCAUUGUUAGGUAAUGUUCUGAUGUAUCAUCAAUGUUUAAUGACCAGGUCUUGCAUUGUUAGGUAAUGUUCUGAUGUAUCAUCGAUGUUUAAUGACCAGGUCUUGCAUUGUUAGGUAAUGUUCUGAUGUAUCAUCGAUGUUUAAUGACCUUGUCUUGCAUUGUUAGGUAAUAUUCUGAUGUAUGAUCGAUGUUUAAUGACCAGGUCUUGCAUUGUUAGGUAAUGUUCUGAUGUAUCAUCAAUGUUUAAUGACCUUGUCUUGCAUUGUUAGGUAAUGUUCUGAUGUAUCAUCGAUGUUUAAUGACCUUGUCUUGCAUUGUUAGGUAAUGUUCUGAUGUAUCAUCAAUGUUUAAUGACCAGGUCUUGCAUUGUUAGGUAAUGUUCUGAUGUAUCAUCGAUGUUUAAUGACCAGGUCUUGCAUUGUUAGGUAAUGUUCUGAUGUAUCAUCGAUGUUUAAUGACCUUGUCUUGCAUUGUUAGGUAAUGUUCUGAUGUAUCAUCGAUGUUUAAUGACCAGGUCUUGCAUUGUUAGGUAAUGUUCUGCUGUAUCAUCGAUGUUUAAUGACCUUGUCUUGCAUUGUUAGGUAAUGUUCUGAUGUAUCAUCAAUGUUUAAUGACCAGGUCUUGCAUUGUUAGGUAAUGUUCUGAUGUAUCAUCGAUGUUUAAUGACCUUGUCUUGCUUUGUUAGGUAAUGUUCUGAUGUAUCAUCAAUGUUUAAUGACCUUGUCUUGCAUUGUUAGGUAAUGUUCUGAUGUAUCAUCGAUGUUUAAUGACCUUGUCUUGCAUUGCUAGGUAAUGUUCUGAUGUAUCAUCGAUGUUUAAUGACCUUGUCUUGCAUUGUUAGGUAAUGUUCUGAUGUAUCAUCGAUGUUUAAUGACCAGGUCUUGCAUUGUUAGGUAAUGUUCUGCUGUAUCAUCGAUGUUUAAUGACCUUGUCUUGCAUUGUUAGGUAAUGUUCUGAUGUAUCAUCGAUGUUUAAUGACCAGGUCUUGCAUUGUUAGGUAAUGUUCUGAUGUAUCAUCAAUGUUUAAUGACCUUGUCUUGCAUUGUUAGGUAAUGUUCUGCUGUAUCAUCGA